GGGUCAUCAGGGAACAGUGUAGCACCUGGGGGUGAGUGCCAGGUGGGCAGCUACUGCCAGCCCUGGUCCUGGAGGGGCUUGGGGAGGGCAUGGUGUUCUCAGCGCCCAGUGCACUGCAGCCGUGGGAGGAGUGGUGCCCACUGGGAGCUGUGGCUGCUGACUGAGGAAGGCAGGUCUAACCCAAACCACCUGGCAAGGCAAACAGAUGCAAUGAAACUUUUCUGAUAACUUUGUUUUCUAUUUACUGCCUGGAGCAUAGUAGCAGAACAGGGGGUUACACUUGAGAUAUUGGAGAAACCAUGCCAUCUGAAUAGCUGUUUCUGCACCAGGUUGACUGUCGGCAUUGAGAGCCAUAAAGAGAAACAAGGUGUAAAUGCACAGAAGAGAGAAGUUAAUGACCACUUAUCUUGUACCAUCUUGGGAGGAGUGACUUCUGGUGCUAAGUAUCAGGAAACAUCCGGGGGAAUGAUUUCCAGAAAAAUGGUAGUGAUGAACAUCUGCAGGAAUGGAGGCACAGACAUAAACGGCCCUGUGGACUCAACGGGAGAAGAAGACGGGGUUCCCAGUCCCUGGACCAUGGACUGAUACUCUUAGAAACCAGGCUGCACAGCAGAAGCUCUGCGUAUAAAUUUGUUUUCUCUGAAGACUCAAAAAUGUCUGCAGGCCUUCAUCAUCACAGUUCUCACGGUGAAGACUGCAAAGGCCGGCCUAAGAUUUUGAUCAGUGGAAAGCUAGGAUGCCCUCCAUGCUCUUCUCCACCACCGGAAUGUUCUCAGAACUUUUCUCGCUUGCUCUCCAAAUCCUAGAGAAAUCUACACAGCCAGGCUGCCUGUGACUACAGGACCAAACUGGGGACACAGUCCUGGGAGCUGGGGCUCAGGGACGCUGUGACACCUGGGUGAGCGGUCUCCUCGGCAGUGUGGAAGCAGCAGAAGCUGUGCUGAACUACGAACCAGGAGGCUCCAGAAUGUGCUGCUGACUGAGGCCGAGGCAAGUCACAGAGCCUGCGGCUGUCUCAUUUAUUUCAGGAACAGCGUUUCCACGGGGAUCUUUAAUUAUUUAGUCUCUGGUCCUUAAUUGGUUUCCUUUUCCACAAAAGGAUCCCUCUUG
ensembl:lncRNA